UACGUAGGGACCGAGCGUUGUCCGGAUUCAUUGGGCGUAAAGAGCUCGUAGGCGGCCACUCAAGUCGAAUGUGAAACCUCAAGGCUUAACCUCGAGCCUGCAUUCGAUACUGGGCGGCUAGAGUCUGGUAGGGGGAUCUGGAAUUCCUGGUGUAGCGGUGGAAUGCGCAGAUAUCAGGAGGAACACCGGUGGCGAAGGCGGCAUCCUGGACCGGUAUUGACGCUGAGGCGCGAAAGCUAGGGGAGCAAACGGG
rnacentral:rRNA from 1 species